rnacentral:rRNA from 1 species
UAGGGAAUCUUCGGCAAUGGACGGAAGUCUGACCGAGCAACGCCGCGUGUGUGAUGAAGGCUUUAGGGUCGUAAAGCACUGUUGUAUGGGAAGAAAUGCUAGAAUAGGGAAUGAUUCUAGUUCGACGGUACCAUACCAGAAAGGGACGGCUAAAUACGUGCCAGCAGCCGCGGUAAUACGUAUGUCCCGAGCGUUAUCCGGAUUUAUUGGGCGUAAAGCGAGCGCAGACGGUUGAUUAAGUCUGAUGUGAAAGCCCGGAGCUCAACUCCGGAAUGGCAUUGGAAACUGGUUAACUUGAGUGUUGUAGAGGUAAGUGGAACUCCAUGUGUAGCGGUGGAAUGCGUAGAUAUAUGGAAGAACACCAGUGGCGAAGGCGGCUUACUGGACAACAACUGACGUUGAGGCUCGAAAGUGUGGGUAGCAAACAGGAUUAGAUACCCUGGUAGUCCACACCGUAAACGAUGAAUACUAGGUGUUAGGAGGUUUCCGCCUCUUAGUGCCGAAGCUAACGCAUUAAGUAUUCCGCCUGGGGAGUACGACCGCAAGGUUG